CAGCCGUAAACUAUGCUCGCUAGGUGUCAGGCAUGGCGCGACCGUGUCUGGUGCCGCAGGGAAGCCGUGAAGCGAGCCACCUGGGAAGUACGGCCGCAAGGCUGAAACUUAAAGGAAUUGGCGGGGGGGCACCACAACGGGUGGAGCCUGCGGUUUAAUUGGACUCAACGCCGGACAACUCACCGGGGACGACAGCAAUAUGUAGGCCAGGCUGAAGACCUUGCCUGAAUCGCUGAGAGGUGGUGCAUGGCGUAGACGUCU
rnacentral:rRNA from 1 species